UACGUAGGUGGCGAGCGUUAUCCGGAUUUAUUGGGUUUAAAGAGAGCGUAAACGGCUGAUUAAGUCAGCAAUAAAAAAUAGCAGCUUAACUGUUUUACAUGCCGUUGAUACUGGUUAGCUUGAGUUGGCAGAAGGCAGAUAGAAUUCCUGGUGUAGCGGUAAAAUGCUUAAAUACCAGAAGGAAUACCGAUUGCGAAGGCAGUCUGCUGCAGUCACACUGACGCUGAGGCUCGAAGGUGCGGGGAUCAAACAGG
rnacentral:rRNA from 1 species